GCAUCAGCAGGAAGAAAAAGCAUUAACAGCUCUGCCACGCUGUCUCUGUCACUGUCAGAUAGUCUGUGCCACUCGUACGAGAAUAUCACCAGAACCGAAUCUCCCGCCUGUAAGUAAAUCGCGGCUAUUAACUCGUCAAGGCGUAAAUGUAUAAAACGAAUAGGUAACUGCGUUUAUUAGAUAUUAACAGGAAUGUCACAUGUGGGCAUUUUUACAACCUGAUAUUUAAUUAAAAAUGAGUUUUUCAGUUUACAUGACAUGUAUGGCUGUUCUGACACGGCCCUGGCACGCUAUGUAAAUUAAUGUAAUCAAUGCUUCUGUGAGCCUGUAGCAUUGUGCAGGGGGUUAUACUGCCCUCAAUAUGGAAACACAGUGUCGCUAGAAGUGUUUUUACUGAACUCCACUGGGUGGGUGCGGUGUUUGGUGGACUGCAGGUAAGAAAUCAAACUGCUCUAAAAUGGUUUGAUUACUUACAAUAAGGGUGGGGGUCAAUCUUGGAACCAUAAUCACUGCAGAAAUCUGUAAUGGUUAUGGUAUUUGGAGUGUUUUUUUAAGGUAAAAAUGUGCAGAAGGCAUGAUUUACAAAGGGGUCAGUCACAGCAGCCAGCCAGCAACAGUAAAUAAGGUGUGAAUAGGGUCCAGAGUGUUAGAGACGGUCGAGAGUUCAUACAUAUAUUCUGCGCAUGUACAAUAUGCGGCAUCAGAUCAAAACAGCUGAUUCUGUGUCACUUCUGGUUAUGCGGAACACCAUCUCGAUCUCCACCGUAUCGCGAAAUAAUGCACGUCUGAAACAUGUGUCACCUACAUGAAAAAGUUUGGAAAGCUCUGAAUUAACCUAUUGCAUCAUAUUAAACGAUUAUACUCUACUAUAUCACAUUACCCACUCCCUAAUAUCACGCCAUUACCAUACUACUAUAUCACAUUACCCACUCUCUAAUAUUACGCCAUUACCAUACUACUAUAUCACAUUACCCACUCCCUAAUAUCACGCCAUUACCAGACUACUAUAUCACAUUACCCACUCUUUAAUAUCACGCCAUUACCAUACUACUAUAUCACAUUACCCACUCCCUAAUAUCACGCCAUUACCAGACUACUAUAUCACAUUACCCACUCUUUAAUAUCACGCCAUUACCAUACUACUAUAUCACAUUACCCACUCCCUAAUAUCACGCCAUUACCAUACUACUAUAUCACAAUACCCACUCUCUAAUAUUAUGCCAUUACCAUACUACUAUCACAUUACCUACUCUUUAAUAUCACGCCAUUACCAUACUACUAUAUCACAUUACCUACUCCCUAAUAUUACACCAUUACCAUACUACUAUAUCACAUUACCCACUCCCUAAUAUCACGCCAUUACCAUACUACUAUAUCACAUUACCCACUCCCUAAUAUCACGCCAUUACCAUACUACUUGUAACGGAGCUCCCUGUACUCUGACCGAGUACCCUCCGUUGAUGGAUGCUCCUAGCGCUUCCUGAGGACUCCAAACACUGCAGCCGACACCACAACCACCGCAGACUCCACAACCGCCGUAGCUUAACUGGAGUCUCGCCGUCUUCCUUCCACCCUGGAUCAGCUUCUGUCCUCCAGGACCGUGUGGGGAAGACCUCUCCUCCAGGAGAGCGUAACAGGAACAGCUCUUAAAAGAGCUAAGUGAUUAAAAGCUCAGGGGAGUAUGCAGAGCAUAGCAAUCCCCAGUGUGAUAUAGCAGUUCCCUCCAAUAACGAGACAAGGCUACGUAUUGAGGGUCAAGAAGAUCUGAUGUUUAAUGGCACACACUCUGCUUUUAUGAGAUUCUGCCCAUGCAAGGGAGACACCCACAUAAUUAGCAGUAUAACCAAUCGGAACAAUAUACAUUCGGGGAAAUUCUCAUCCCUCAGAUAAUCACAUAACAUAAUUAAAACAGAACAGUAAAAAUACAGUUUUUAUACAUGUACUAUAACUUCCAAACUACACAUCCAAUCUUCAUAAAAAUUACAUAUUUGGAAUCAAUCCAUUAAGGGGAGCAACAUAUUAAAAAAUGGCACAAAUCAGACAAGGGGUUCAAAAGUUAGCAAAAGUGUCUUUUGGGGCCUGGCUGGCAGCAUGGUUUUCUGGCCCAAACCGGUUUUACAGAGGCCUCUAUCCUGGACAAUGGGGAAAGUAAUCCAAUUAUCCAGGGAUAGAGGCAGACUCCAUUAACCACAUGUUAGCAAAAGACACAAAAAGACACAAAAAUACAUAACUCCUAUUGAACUGAACAGAACCCCCACAUUCAACCUAUCCCCAGAUGGCUUGGAUCUGAGCGCUCAAUAUAUCCAAACAGCGCUCAGAUCCCACAAAUACAGUCAAAUCGCCAUACACACUAGGUCCAUAGUCAUGGGGCAGAAGGCUGGCAAUUAGGCUUCUCCAUAACACAGGGAAGCAGGGCAAUUUGUCAAAUAAAAUAACAGUUACAAAUGGCAGUUUGUAACAUAUCUCCCCUUUUGGAGGGAGACUAACCAGGCACCUGACCUCCUGUCGGUCAGUGCCUAAGUUAGUCUCGCAGCCCACCCACAAAUAACAAGUAGCAAAGUAGCCCCCCCACAAUAAACAGUACUGGCCUGUAGGUUCCAGGCUGUAGGAUGAAAAUGCAGCAUCCUCUGCCUUCCUGGUGCAGCUGGGCAAAUAGCUGGUGGUACUUGGGGGGCAGAGGCCAGCGGCGCUCUGCCCUGAUGCCCGCACUUCUGCUGGGGAGAGGGGGUUGCAGACCAGUCCUGUAACAAGGGGGUCGGUAGGGCAGAGGCCAGCGGCGCUCUGCCCUGAUGUCAGCUCUUCCGCUGGGGUAGCCGGCAGAAUGUCACGCUCUGUACAAGGGACACAGGGAGGGCAGAGGCCGACUGCACUCUGCCCAGCUGCCAGCUCUUCCGCUGGUAUAGCCUGCAGGACAUCAGGCUCUGGACAAGGGACAAAGGGAGGGCAGAGGCCGACUGCACUCUGCCCAGCUGCCAGCUCUUCCGCUGGGGGGCUUGGGACAUAGUCCGGCUCAGUAGCCAGGGGAACGUGGGGGUCAGUGGGGGUUAACAUCUCCUCUGUUAACCCUGGGGCCAAGUUAGGAGUUAGCUGGGAGGGGAAUUCGUACUUACCCCCUCCUCCUGUUGUCCCUGUGAGGGUAGUUGGGGAUCUGGACAGGCUGUCCAGCAUCCCUGUAGGUCGGGCACAGAGACCACGGUCCCCUCUGCGCCAUCUGGGAGAUUGGUGUCUCCCUUGGUAGGGUAAGCUGCCGCUGGGGAGAUAGGGUGCUGUGCUCCUCUCCCUGAAACACAGGCUGCCGCUGGAGAGGGAGACCGCCUGUCUCCACUCCCAUAACAUUGUCCUGCUGCUGGAGAGAGAGACCAACUGUCUCUGCUCCCUGUAGGACACACUGCUGCUGGGGAGGAAGGACGACACCUUCGGCUCCCUGUAACUGCACUGCCACUGGGGAGGAAGGACGACACCUUCGGCUCCCUGUAACUUGCACUGCCGCUGGGGAGAGAGACCAACUGUCUCUGCUCCCUGUAGGACACACUGCGCUGGGGGGGAAGGACGACACCUUCGGCCCCCUGGAAUUCGCACUGCCGCUGGGGAGGAAGGACGACACCUUCGGCUCCCUGUAACUUGCACUGCCGCUGGGGAGGAAGGACGACACCUUCGGCUCCCUGUAACUUGCACUGCCGCUGGAGACUAGGUGUCCAUAUCCUCACCUCCACAGUUGUCGCUCAAAGGCCAUUGCCACACUGUUCUCAGCACUCAACUGGCGCAUUACUUGUUGGACCACCUCGUUCGAAAGGUCUGGGCCAUAGCAGACCAACCGCCUCUUUACCUCCUCAAUGUAAGCGUCGUCCUCGUAGCGACGUAUCAUGUUGAGGUGCUCUUCGCAGGGCUCUAUCCAUCCCUGCUCCAUGCUGCUGUAGUUAGGGACGCUGCACAGUGGCUAGCGUUGCCCUCAAUAACCUCUCAUACGAUAUCCAGCUGCUUCUCCUCGCACUAGGACGCCAUCCCACCGCUGCCACCAAUGUAACGGAGCUCCCUGUACUCUGACCGAGUACCCUCCGUUGAUGGAUGCUCCUAGCGCUUCCUGAGGACUCCAAACACUGCAGCAGACACCACAACCACCGCAGACUCCACAACCGCCGUAGCUUAACUGGAGUCUCGCCGUCUUCCUUCCACCCUGGAUCAGCGUCUGUCCUCCAGGACCGUGUGGGGAAGACCUCUCCUCCAGGAGAGCGUAACAGGAACAGCUCUUAAAAGAGCUAAGUGAUUAAAAGCUCAGGGGAGUAUGCAGAGCAUAGCAAUCCCCAGUGUGAUAUAGCAGUUCCCUCCAAUAACUAGACAAGGCUACGUAUUGAGGGUCAAGAAGAACUGAUGUUUAAUGGCACACACUCUGCUUUUAUGAGAUUCUGCCCAUGCAAGGGAGACACCCACAUAAUUAGCAGUAUAACCAAUCGGAACAAUAUACAUUCGGGGAAAUUCCCAUCCCUCAGAUAAUCACAUAACAUAAUUAAAACAGAACAGUAAAAAUACAGUUUUUAUACAUGUACUAUAACUUCCAAACUACACAUCCAAUCUUCAUAAAAAUUACAUAUUUGGAAUCAAUCCAUUAAGGGGAGCAACAUAUUAAAAAAUGGCACAAAUCAGACAAGGGGUUCAAAAGUUAGCAAAAGUGUAUUUUGGGGCCUGGCUGGCAGCAUGGUUUUCUGGCCCAAACCGGUUUUACAGAGGCCUCUAUCCUGGACAAUGGGGAAAGUAAUCCAUUAUCCAGGGAUAGAGGCAGACUCCAUUAACCACAUGUUAGCAAAAGACACAAAAAGACACAAAAAUACAUAACUCCUAUUGAACUGAACAGAACCCCCACAUUCAACCUAUACCCAGAUGGCUUGGAUCUGAGCGCUCAAUAUAUCCAAACAGUGCUCAGAUCCCACAAAUACAGUCAAAUCGCCAUACACACUAGGUCCAUAGUCAUGGGGCAGAAGGCUGGCAAUUAAGCUUCUCCAUAACACAGGGAAGCAGGGCAAUUUGUCAAAUAAAAUAACAGUUACAAAUGGCAGUUUGUAACACUACUAUAUCACAUUACCCACUCCCUAAUAUUACGCCAUUACCAUACUACUAUUUCACAUUACCCACUCCCUAAUAUCACGCAAUUAACAUACUACUAUAUCACAUUACCCACUCCCUAAUAUUACACCAUUACCAAACUACUAUAUCACAUUACCCACUCCCUAAUAUCACGCAAUUACCAUACUACUAUAUCACAUUACCGACUCCCUAAUAUUACGCCAUUACCAUACUACUAUAUCACAUUACCCACUCUCUAAUAUUACGCCAUUAGAUUACUAUAUCACAUUACCCACUCCCUAAUAUCACGCCAUUACCAUACUACUGUAUCACAUUACCCACUCUCUAAUAUUACGCCAUUAUAUUACUAUAUCACAUUACCCACUCCCUAAUAUUACGCCAUUACCAUACUACUAUAUCACAUUACCCACUCCUUAAUAUCACGCUAUUACCAUACUACUAUUUCACAUUACGCACUUCCUAAUAUCACGCCAUUACCAUGCUACUCAAAUCAUGUCAUUACCCCGAUAUCCUAUUCUACCCUUUUCAUUAUCUCCCUAUUCCAUACUCUUACCAACAGCAUGUUAUUUACGCCAUUAUCCUAUAAAACUCUUCCUACAUUCUAUAUUGUUAUUUAUAUUCGAUUUUCUGAAUUUACAGUAUCCUAUAAUUCACUCCCUAUUACAUCACAAGCCUAUUUAAAUCCAUUUCUCUUCUCUUUCAGCCGGCACAGCAGAUUUUGACUAUGUAAACGUGGCAGAAAAAACGAGACUCUCCUAGUCCUGCUCCCAAUCUCGCUCUGUGCCAACAUGGCAUCUGCAUUUUUACGCCAACAAGGCAUCUGUGUUCUUACACCAACAUGGCAUCUGCAUUUUUACGCCAACAAGGCAUCUGUGUUCUUACACCAACAUGGCAUCUGCAUGCUGUGCCAACAUGGCAUCUGCAUGCUGUGCCAACAUGGCAUCUGUCUCCUGCGCCAACAUGGCAUCCGCGUACUGUGCCAACAUGGCGUCUCUGAUCUUUCGUUAACAUGACAUCUGCAUCCUGCAUCAACAUGGCAUCUGUUUCCUGUGCCAACAUGGCACCUGCAUCCUGCGCCAACUUGGCAACUGCAUCCUGUGCCAGCAUGACUACUGUUUCCAAUAAGGCAUGUGUGUCCUGCGCCAACAUGGGUUGGAAGAAGAGAGACUAGUAUAGAUCUAAAACUCCGUAUGACUUGCUCCAUGACAAAAUGGAAAACAUAGAACUGCUUCAUUGUAAAUAUAUUCUUUAACCCAAAACAAUUUGAGAAUCAUGACAGCAAUUUCAUAAAGAUUUAACAUCAUAAAACUGAAAAAACCAAUUCAUUUAAAGCUCCCUACUUAUCUAUGUAACAUGUUUUUCAUCUUCUUUCUAAACACUGGUGGUCACUCACAUGGCGCAGAGCAUCACGUCUGCUCCUCAGUAGCUUGCCUUUGUUAGAUUCUCACCGUAGCUACAUGACCAACUGAGGUUCCUUUAAAUUAAUAUAAAUAAGAUAAGUAACCUCCAAAGAAACACAGUUUGUGUUUUCAAAAUUAUAUAAAAACUAGAAAAAAAUGCUUAGAAUUUUAUCUUACAUACUGAAACAUUGGACAUUAUAUUCUGUUUCCUCCACAUCAGUCUAUAUAUCCCAUUAGGAGCCAUUUGUAUUAGCUAUCAUUCAUUUAGGAGAAUUAUGAAGAAUUUCUCAUAUUUUGUGAAUACAUCAUUUUUAUUACUUUUUUUAACGAGAGUAUUAUUCAUUUUGUGCUACAGGGCGAAGCUUACAGUCCGGGUUAUUCACAAAGUCCUGAAUUGUUGAGAAUUACAAAUUUAACCCUUUAAUAGCCAAUCUGGAAAUGUAACUUUCUUUGAGAUGUUUUUCCAGUAAUUUUGACCUCAGAUUUGCAAUUCUGUGAUAUAAUACAGAAAAUUCAGGAUUUACUGAAUAACUCGGCCUGUGUGAUAUGUUGCUACACUAUAAAUCAACUUACCGUUUGUUCCGCUUUAUUGGUUUUAUAGAAUAUAGAAUGUGCUAACUGUUAUAAAUAAAACAAGCAUUUCCAAAAUUACAAAA